rnacentral:lncRNA from 1 species
UUUUUUUCCUCUCGCUCCCUUUUUUUUUCUUGCCUUCUCCUUCUUCACUGAAGCCUAGGGGAGCCAGUAAAGAUUAAAUGUGCUUUCUCAAAGGCAGCCACUUCAUGCUGCUAUGUCGAAAGGGCCAUUAUUAUUAUUUUUUUUAAUAGUAAAAGAAAAAGGGAGAGAGGUUGAGAGAGAGAGAGAGAGAGAGAGAGAGAGAGAAACUAGGUAGGAUGAUGACGGACUAGCUUUUCUGAGAGCGAAAGGAAGAGAGGGAAGGGAGAGAAAAAGGAGAGACCUUAAGCUGAACGGAGGAUUGUGCCUGAGAAGAACCUUAGAGGUGAGAAAAAAAAGUUGUCUUGAAGAUGGGGGAUGGGGGUGGGGAUGCUGAAUAACCCUGUACAGAGGGAAAAGAGACAUAAUUUAGCUGUCUUGCUGGUAUGAUUCUAUUUUGGAAGGGGGACAGGGUUGGGGGGGGGUCCUGGAGCUUUAACGGUUUUUAGUUGCAUGCGGAAAUAUACACAAAAUAUUUAACAUUUUUCCUAAGUGCCUGAGGCCCCCUCCAGUGCCUUCCUCGCAGGGGCUGCUUUGUCAUUCUCUUUGACUAGCCAGCCAUCUACCUUGCUCGGGCUGGAAUAAAAGAAGAAAAAAGGAAAGAAAGAAAGAAAAGGGAAAAAAGGAAGAAAACAAUUUUCAAAGAUUCAUCUUUCCAUGCAUUUCCCCUCCCUUUCGUUUCAUUUUUGGAGGCGGCGCAGGGGCCGUCUUUGCACAGGAAAAGCUCAGCUUCCAGGCAGACAGGGGAAGCGAUGAUCAUUCAGGUACAGAACUGGUAGCUGUCUGCGAAGAUGGAGGGGAGUUAUGCUUCGGAUUCCUCCGAAAUAUUGGCACAAGGCUUCAAAGGAUCCGCAGCGGGAGUGGGGCGGGGGAGAUGCGCCUCCCUGGCUCGCACCCACCCCUUCCCACUCGCCUCGACCAAGUGACAGCCUGGUGCUGGCUCGGGGUGAUUUGGCCUUGGCUUCAGCCAAGCAGCUGAUGCAGAGGAGGCCCGCGCGCAGGACUGGCAAAGUGCACACUAAAGAAGGAAGAAAAUUCGAAAAGCAGCCCUGGGGAGGGUUCUCGUUCUUAUAAAAACCUUUUUUUUUAAAUUUUUUUAUUUUUAACUAAAUAGUCUCAAAAUUUGAUCAGUCCCAGUCUUGCCCUCCACUCCCACCGACCUGCCGUUUAUUUUUUCUCUCUCGUCAAAGCAUAAACUACAGAGUUACAGUCUCUAGAUUUGGUGUAUCGCUUCCUGCCCCCGCCUCCCCCUCCCCGCCCAGUUCUCAGUCCUCUAUUGAAACACCUCGCCCAGGCGAGCGCACUGCGAGCUCACAUUUCCCCCCCUUGCUCGGAAGGUGCUACAGGAGGCAGCAGCCCGGCUCCACUUCCAAUGGUGACAGGACACAGACUGCAGAGACCGCUGUACUGGUGGACGCUCAAGCCAACUGUGAAGUUGAAACAAAGGAAUCAGGACUCGGUCACCUGAAGACACCUCUUCUGCUAAGCGACACACCCACAUGAUGCAGUUCAGCCAGUAGACUCUCAGAACAAGAGGCAAUCUUUGCAAGAAACAGGAACACUUGAGAAUGACUUCUAGAUUUCUGACUUCCCUUCCUCGUGUGUAUUCCUCUGUUUGUAUUUCAAUUCUGUGUGACAUUCAUCUUUAAAAAAGUGUUUUCUGAUAUGAAUAUGCUUAUCAACACACCCAAUUUUUAAAAUAGAAAAUUUCACACACAUGCUAAUGUUUUAAGGAACAAAAUUCAUGCUAUGAAUUUUAGCCACAUACAAGGUUUGACCUUAAGAGUGACUUAAACAAUAGGAUAUAAAGUUAUUUUGAAACAGCGGAGUCGUCGGAGGUAACUCAAAGGAUAGAAUAACGGUGGUAACUCAGAAUGCAGCGUAGAAAGGCACUACCCUGUGACACCACCAAUCAACCAUGCUUUCUGUCAGGCAAGCUAGGUUCUGCCUCUGCAGAGUUUAAGUUUAGUUAGGCAGAGGUAUGUACGCUUUUGACAAGAUAAGUAACAAAUCAAGUCAAUAGACAAUAACAGUAAAACCAAAGCAAGACAAAAGAUGUAUGAACAAGGAGCUCAGAGGUGGUCACGUUAAACUGGGCAAACUGGUCCGUUUAGGGAAGAAAGUUCGCAAAGGAGGAGGAAAUGAAUCUUAAAAGAUGUUAAAGAUUUCGAUAAAUGGAAAAGAAGGAGAAAAUCGAGUCCUUUAGAUGGAUGUGGUGUUGUGAGCAAAGUCCGGGAAGACUACAUGUAAUUUUAGGGAAUUAUGAUCACACAUGUCUAGUUGCCUUCACCCCAGACUUUCAGUGCCAGUGUGUGUGUAUGUACAUACGUGGUAAAGACUUCAUGGACACAUUGUCCCUCUCCCGCUUCAGGUGUCGCCUAGAAUCAUAAUUGUAUUUCUUCCAUUAAAGCACGUGAGAGUGGCGAUAACAGGAGGAUUUGUGAUUUUUCUCUUGGCCUGAUAACAAUGGAUGUUUAUUGAGUUCUCACUACAUUUUGAGUAUUUUAUACAUCAACUCUCUGAAGCCUCACAACAAUCCUGCAAAAUUUAUCCCCAUUUUACACUAAGAAAACUGAGGUUUAAUGAGGUUAAGUAACUUGCCAAACCACCACAUCCAGGUGUCACAAUCAGAUUUGCCAUCGCAAAGCUCAUGAUCUAAAGCACUAAGUCAAAAUACUACGACCAACAUCACAAUAUGACCACUUCUCUAGUCCUUGAGAUUUUUCUGUGGUAAAUGGUAACAAUUAUCUUCUCAAAUUUUUCAGUUUUCUGGUUAAAUUACACUAAAGUGAUGGAACGUAUUUUUAUCAUGACAGAAAUUGGAGGGGAAAUGGGGUUUAUCAGCAUUUUAGGCUGCUUUGGUGGGUGUCCAGCCUUUGAUGGGACUAUUCAUUUUGGUGAGCAUGAACUCUCCACUUCUUGAGAAUGAAAAUAGAAAGUGAGGGGAGCCUAAAGGUCAUCUAUACAAUGUCCUUUUCUACAGGUGUUGUCAAUCCAUGAAGUUAGAGUGACUUACAGAAGAUCCCACAUUUGCGUGUAGCAAAGCAAGGUCCAGAAACCAUGCCCUCAGCGGCUCUUAAAUAAACAACUGCAUCCUGCCUAAAAGAAGUGUGAGCUUGAAUUUGAUCAAUGACAACAUUCCAUCUGGGUGAUCAGGGGCAGCAUGGAACCUAGUAGACUGCUCAGUUUUGCACCUCUCUGGCUUCUCACCUCAGCGUGAAAAAUAGCUAUAGCUCUGGGCUGACAUCUUUAGAUGCAGGAAUUGUCAGUGGUCCAUCCACACAGAACAUACAAUGGCCCAAGUUAUGUGUACAGUGUCUUCAAUGAUUUGGAAUUCUCAGUUCACCUAAACAGAUCUUCUCAUGAGCAUUUCCUGAACCAAUUUUAUGCACAGUAUAUAUUAGAGCUUCCACAUCAAGAUUUAAACACGACUGUUUCGCUAGUCCUUAUGUUUUUGAUGGUAUCAGUGGUUCUUUGCUAUUUUAACCUUCACUUAUCCAGGUGACUAACUCAAGAAUACUUCAGCAAUAAAAAGCUGGAAUUGAGGAAACCUUAUUCUUUACCAGCCCCUUCGCCUUCAGUUGGCAUUCAGUCAUGCCAAAUAGAGGGGUCAGCUGGAGAACUCAAAUUUGAAAUGCAAUUUUGUCUGAAGUCCGUUAAGCUGUGUUUACUUAAGGGCAAGCUUCUAGAUGUUUGAAAGUACCUGAAUAUUUAACUGUUGUAAAUUUCCAGUUAGAUAUCUGGCAUUGUUGCACUUGGACCUGCUGGUGGCUCAGGUCAUCCUAUUUUCAAAAUGAUCAUUGGCCAUGUGUCACACAAUUCUCAUUAAGUGAGUUCAUAGAGUUUUUUAAGUCAAGCCAAGCACAAAAUGUGACUUUGUUGACAUUUUAUGAGACUUUGUCAUAUGUCCCCUGAACCCCCCAAUAAAAGCACUGUUGC